AAUCGGUCUGACAGCAGUCAGUCACACAGAGACACCGAACACCGAGCACAGAGACAAGGUAACGGCGUAGUGAAUGAAUGAAACAAACAAUAAUAAGAGAAACGGCGAGGCUGCGCGGCGUUGAUGCUAACGCGGAGUUUGGUGUCGGUUAUCAGAGCGAGAGGGAGAAGGAGCGGAGAGAGAAGCAGAUCCAGAAGAAGAGGAAGGAGUACCUGGUGAAGGAGCUGGAGGGACUGCUCAAGCACGAAGGUUCGGGCGAUCUGAUCCCCGUGAUCGGCUUCUUCUGUCAGCGCUGUGAGGAGUUUUUCGGGGACCUGAGCAGCGCAGAGGGAACAAAACACACCGACGCACACCAGGAUCAGCAGAUUAAAGACAGUAAGAGGCAGCGAGAGCACAAGCCCGCGGAGUGCCGAGACCGAGACGAGCGGAGCGCCGAGAGGAAACGACCGAGAGAAGACACGAGCCCUCGCAGGACCGAGGACAAGUCCAGAGUCCGGGAGACGAACCCAGGAAAGAGGAUGACGCCCAGUCGAGUAACACCGCCAAGAAGAAAAAGAAGAAAGACAAGAAGAAAAAGAAGGAGAAAAGAAAGAGAAGAAGAAAAAGAACAAGGCUGGGGA
ensembl:lncRNA